rnacentral:rRNA from 1 species
GUGCUUAACACAUGCAAGUCGAACGAUGAAGCCCUUCGGGGUGGAUUAGUGGCGAACGGGUGAGUAACACGUGGGCAAUCUGCCCUUCACUCUGGGACAAGCCCUGGAAACGGGGUCUAAUACCGGAUAACACUCUGUCCCGCAUGGGACGGGGUUAAAAGCUCCGGCGGUGAAGGAUGAGCCCGCGGCCUAUCAGCUUGUUGGUGGGGUAAUGGCCUACCAAGGCGACGACGGGUAGCCGGCCUGAGAGGGCGACCGGCCACACUGGGACUGAGACACGGCCCAGACUCCUACGGGAGGCAGCAGUGGGGAAUAUUGCACAAUGGGCGAAAGCCUGAUGCAGCGACGCCGCGUGAGGGAUGACGGCCUUCGGGUUGUAAACCUCUUUCAGCAGGGAAGAAGCGAAAGUGACGGUACCUGCAGAAGAAGCGCCGGCUAACUACGUGCCAGCCGCCGCGGGUAAUUCA